AGUAGAGGCAUAUACUUUCCCCUGAACUUUUAAAUGUAUUUAUGUGGCAUUCAGUCCAAUGCGUAUCGCUGGUAGGUAACUAAAGUUUUAUUACAGAAAUGUCAUCUAUAGGCCUUGUGGAUGAGUUAAAUUAAAAUCGUUGAAAAACUAAACUUCAUUAUGAUGUAAAGGAUCCUCAGUUAAGUCAAUGUAAGAAGAAGAAGAAGAGAAAAAACACAGGUCUUAACGUCUUAAUGGAACUGGAAAAGCAAGUGCCAUCUUGUGAGCUGCCACCCAUCUUGUGAGCUGUUGAGGGAGAACAAGCACAG
ensembl:lncRNA